UGGGGAAUUUUGGACAAUGGGCGCAAGCCUGAUCCAGCAAUGCCGCGUGCAGGAAGAAGGCCUUCGGGUUGUAAACUGCUUUUGUCAGGGAAGAAAUCCUCUGGGUUAAUACCUCGGGGGGAUGACGGUACCUGAAGAAUAAGCACCGGCUAACUACGUGCCAGCAGCCGCGGUAAUACGUAGGGUGCGAGCGUUAAUCGGAAUUACUGGGCGUAAAGCGUGCGCAGGCGGUUGUGCAAGACAGGUGUGAAAUCCCCCGGGCUUAAACCUGGGAACUGCACUUGUGACUGCACGGCUAGAGUACGGUAGAGGGGGAUGGAAUUCCGCGUGUAGCAGUGAAAUGCGUAGAUAUGCGGAAGGAACACCGAUGGCGAAGGCAAUCCCCUGGACCUGUACUGACGCUCAUGCACGAAAGCGUGGGGAGCAAACAGGAUUAGAUACCCUGGUAGUCCACGCCCUAAACGGUGUCAACUGGUUGUUGGACGGCUUGCUGUUCAGUAACGAAGCUAACGCGUGAAGUUGACCGCCUGGGGAGUACGGCCGCAAGGUUGAAACUCAAAUGAAUUGACGGGGUCAUAGC
rnacentral:rRNA from 1 species